UUCGUCGGGUGUAAAAAUACCGAAAGAAAAUCAAGAAUGAGAGAAGAAAAAUAAAGCACAUAAUAUUUACGUGGUUCGGCCAUCGACUUACGUCCACGGGCGAAGACAGAGCGAAGAUCGUCAUUAUAAUCAAAGUGGUGUACAAAAUAUGCCUCUGUCACAAAACUCUAAUCCCAAAAAUACAUUCUUAUUCUUUCUCUCAUCUUCCGCGCUAAACCAAUGGAAGAAAGGGUAUAUUUAUAAAAGUGACCAAAUCCUAAUACAACUAGGAAUACAAACCCACUAAGAUUAGGAAUAUC
rnacentral:lncRNA from 1 species